rnacentral:lncRNA from 1 species
GGUAUAAAUUCAUACUCUCAGAAAACCAUCCACUUAUGUGCAUAUCAUGCUUCAAAAUUAUUGCAGUAUUAUGUACGACUUUUCCUGAUUUGCUAUCAAGCAGAGCGAUCGGUGAUGUUGUGACUGUAUCUCUUUCUGAUAUUUUUCUCAAGUCCGACUCUAAUGGUGCCUGGCAUACUGAAUCCUCAAGUUGAUCCCAGAUCCGCAUAAUCCCA